rfam:Choloepus hoffmanni cont1.60063, whole genome shotgun sequence.
CUAUGACUCCUGAUUGCUAAGUGUUCACCUGGACCUUCUGACCACCUUCCUUCUGCUAUUCCAUCACUACAGAUCUGGUACCUGGAUUUUUGCCCAUGUUUGAGUCCUACUACCUUACUACUGAAGAAGACACCAUUCCUGUGGACCACUGUGACCCAAGAGGCAUUCAGCCAUGAUGAUGUGGCCUUCACCUCCACUCUUUUCCUGUUCUACCCAGAUUCAACACAACCCCUUA